rnacentral:rRNA from 1 species
GUGGGGAAUCUUCCGCAAUGGACGAAAGUCUGACGGAGCGACGCCGCGUGAGUGAAGAAGGCCUUCGGGUCGUAAAGCUCUGUCAUCAGGGACGAACGGCCGGUGGAGUGGAAAGCCACCGGAUUGACGGUACCUGAGAAGGAAGCCACGGCUAACUACGUGCCAGCAGCCGCGGUAAUACGUAGGUGGCAAGCGUUGUCCGGAAUUAUUGGGCGUAAAGCGCGCGCAGGUGGGAUCUUAAGUCCAUUUUGAAAGUUCGGAGCUCAACUCCGUGAUGGGAUGGAAACUGGGAUUCUUGAGUACCGGAGAGGAAAGCGGAAUUCCCCGUGUAGCGGUGAAAUGCGGAGAUAUGGGGAGGAACACCAGUGGCGAAGGCGGCUUUCUGGACGGUGUCUGACACUGAGGCGCGAAAGCCAGGGGAGCGUACGGGAUUAGAUACCCCUGUAGUCC